rnacentral:rRNA from 1 species
AGUGAGCGCUGGCGGUAGGCCUAACACAUGCAAGUCGAACGGCAGCACAGUAAGAGCUUGCUCUUACGGGUGGCGAGUGGCGGACGGGUGAGGAAUACAUCGGAAUCUACUUUUUCGUGGGGGAUAACGUAGGGAAACUUACGCUAAUACCGCAUACGACCUACGGGUGAAAGCAGGGGAUCUUCGGACCUUGCGCGAUUGAAUGAGCCGAUGUCGGAUUAGCUAGUUGGCGGGGUAAAGGCCCACCAAGGCGACGAUCCGUAGCUGGUCUGAGAGGAUGAUCAGCCACACUGGAACUGAGACACGGUCCAGACUCCUACGGGAGGUAGCAGUGGGGAAUAUUGGACAAUGGGCGCAAGCCUGAUCCAGCCAUACCGCGUGGGUGAAGAAGGCCUUCGGGUUGUAAAGCCCUUUUGUUGGGAAAGAAAAGCAGCAGGUUAAUACCCCGCUGUUCUGACGGUACCCAAAGAACAAGCACCGGCUAACUUCGUG